AGUGGCAGAGAGAUUGACGCUGAGGAAGAAUGACUAUACCGACGCUGUAACCGUGGAACUGGGUCUUAAACAAGUUCAUGAGGCAGAAGGAGCACUUGUGCAAAGGCAGGGAGACAGGGGACACCGCAACUUAUCCUGAGAACUAGAAGAAUGAUGGGAGCCCGGGGGUGCGGAGUGAAGCAGAAACCCACAAUGAUGAUGAAAUUAGAAAGGAAGACAAGAACAACAAGGUUGUGGAAUUCAGAAGCCAUAGAGACAAGAGGUAACACACCUGAGAAAGAUGAUCCCUAAGUUUGUCUUGGAGAAAACUCAGAAGUACCUGACUACAUCGUAGACCUCCCAAACAGCUUCCAAAUGUCAGAUACCACUGAACAUGGGGAUAAAGACCACUAGAGAUCAGAAAAUUAUUCUCUGGGGUAUCUGACCACUUCCAGAGGAAAGACAUAAAGAUGCUGAUGUCAAGAAUGACCCAACUAAACGGCCCAGCCACAUGACCCAGUUGAAGCUGGUGGACAAGAAGUUUCAUUCAUGGAAUCAGAACUUCCAAUAAGGUCUUUUAGUACCUCACUCCUAAAUUUGAAUAGACUACCAAAGAUUAUCAGACAUCUAAGGAGAACUACCAGCAUGAAAGGUAGAGACCAAAGCAAACAAACAAACAAAGAAAAUAAUUUGGAACUAACCAAGACUAUGCUGGGAGAAGAAAACUAUUAUUAAUAUCCACAGAGCGUAGUACAGCCACUAUGGAGAACAGUAUGGAGGUUCCUCUAAAGACUAAAAAUAGAACCAUCAUAAUUCAACAAUCCCACUGCUAGAUAUAUACCCCAAAGAAAGGAAAUCAGUAUAUUGAAAAGAUAUCUGCACUCUCAUGUUUACUGUAGCACUAUUCAUAAUAGCCAAGAUUUGGAAGCAACUUAAGUGUCCAUCAACAGAUGAACAGAUUUUUUUUAAAUGUGGUACAUAUACACAAUGGAGUACUAUUCAGCCAUAAAAAAGAAUGAGAAAUGUCAUUUGCAACAACAUGGUUGGAACUGGAGGACCUUAUGUUAAGUGAAAUAAGCCAGGCCCAAAAAAGCAAAUUUCACAUGUUCUCACUCAUUUGUGGGACCUAAAAAUGAAAACAGUUGAACUCAGGGAGAUAGAGUAAGAUGAUGGUUACCAGAGGCUGGAAGGGUAGUUGUGGUGGGAGGUGGGUGGUUAAUGAGUACAAAAAUAUAAUUAGAUAGAAUGAAUAAAUCUAAUAGUUGCUAGCACAACAGGGUGACUACAGUCAACAAUAAUUUACCGUACAUUUAAAAUAACUAAAAGAGUAUAAUUGGCAUGUUAGUUACACAAAAAAAGGAUAAAUGCUUGAGGCAACGGAUAUACCAUUUACCUGGAUUUGGUUAUCACACAUUGUAUACUUGCAUUAAAAUACCUGCCGGGCACGUGGCUCAUGCCUGUAAUCCCAGCACUUUGGGAGGCUGAGGCGGGCAGAUCACCUGAGGUCGGGAGUUUGAGACCAGCCUGACUAACAUGGAGAAACCCCAUCUCUACUAAAAAUACAAAGUUAGCUGGGAAUGGUGGCUCAUGCCUGUAAUCCAAGCUACUCGGGAGGCUGAGGCAGGAGAAUCACU
ensembl:lncRNA novel transcript